CCUACGGGUGACAGCAGUGAGGAAUAUUGGUCAAUGGACGAGAGUCUGAACCAGCCAAGUAGCGUGAAGGAUGACUGCCCUAUGGGUUGUAAACUUCUUUUAUAAAGGAAUAAAACGAGGCACGUGUGCCUUGUUGCAUGUACUUUAUGAAUAAGGAUCGGCUAACUCCGUGCCAGCAGCCGCGGUAAUACGGAGGAUCCGAGCGUUAUCCGGAUUUAUUGGGUUUAAAGGGAGCGUAGAUGGGUUGUUAAGUCAGUGGUGAAAGUUUGCGGCUCAACCGUAACAGCGCAAUUGAUACUGGCAGUCUUGAGUAGAGUUGAGGUAGGCGGAAUUCGUGGUGUAGCGGUGAAAUGCUUAGAUAUCACGAAGAACCCCGAUUGCGAAGGCAGCUUACUAAACUGUGACUGACAUUGAUGCUCGAAAGUGUGGGUAUCAAACAGGAUUAGAUACCCUGGUAGUC
rnacentral:rRNA from 1 species